rnacentral:lncRNA from 1 species
GGAGUCAAUAUUUUGACUCUCUGACUGUCGCUCCUUCUUGACCACCAGCUCUUCAUUAAUAAGCAAAUAAAGUGGGUUGGUAUGUCUAUAAAACUUGUAGUGCACCUUGAUGGCUCAAUGCCAGCAAGAAUUCGAUCCGAGGGAGAUGGAACUUUUGAUAAACAAUUUUAGAUUAUAAUAAAAAUUGUAUUGUUUUAAUAUGAUCG